rnacentral:lncRNA from 1 species
UCCUCCUCAACACAUGCAACAAGGAACAUUAAUACGAAAGAAAAGAAAAGAUGUAAGCUGUCAUCUCAAAAAAAAAAAUAACAAUAAUAAUUAGAAGCAACAAAGGAAAAAAAAAAAUCCAUUUUCUCCUCAUUCUCCAUAGUAGCUAAGAAUCCACACAGGCUUCCACAAAUGGGCAGCUUCAGAGAAAUCCCAGUUCACUGUUUUGGAUCAGUAUCCACUUGAAAUCUUUAAAUUUAAAUACUUUCCCCGUGAUAGAACAGAAAAGAUGCAUCCAGAUGAACCACGCAUAGGUUCCCAGAUUUCUCAGAAUGUCAGCAACAAAAGAGAUGGAUUAGGUAAUACAGAAUUCUCACCAAAAAGUUAGUACAAAAUAAAGUUUCUGGUCUAGAAGUCAUACUUUCAGAUAAGCCAAGCCAUAUUACAGGAAAUGAAGUGGGGACACGAAAAGGAGCACAUUUUUCUUCGACACAAAAGAACAAACAGAAAAGGAGCAUCUCCACUUUCUUUCACCAUCUAC